GUUUUACUAUUUUAGCUAUUGAGUAACAAUAUUAAAAUUGUAUCGGUUAUUUGUUUUAUGGGAUAAAAAAUUAUUCUGCAGUAAGGAACUAAGGUUUACUUUAACAGUUUACAUAAGCCUAUUAUGGUGAAUAUUUAUUAUUUAUAAUAGACGCGGUAGCCCUAGAGAAAGUCCAGGGACUGCCCCUGCUGCCCCCGAGCACACGCCGAUGACGGGAAACUAGUGACUACAAUUACGUCAGUAGUUCCCAAAUUGUGAGGUGCGAGCUGCAUGGAUGGCGUAAACUAAAAGUUUGGGAACCGCUGUUCUAAGUUUAACUAAUUUUAAUACAUUUAAUGAUUUUUUUUGUGUUAGUAUUACAAAUAACAAUUGUCAUCUUUUUUUUUCUCUUUUUGUGAUGAAUCCC